UUGGAUUCCAUUCGCAGUUAGUUCAGUAGCGUGGAUGGAGAAUAACGCGUGGCUGGAGGAACGAUUGAAAAAUGGAUAAGAUAAUAAACAAAAAAAAUGAUCAAAUUAUGAAGCUGCAGGCCCAGUUAUUGGAACAACACAAAAUUUUAGAUAACAACAAAGCUAAGGAUCGUAGGCCUAAUACGUAAUGAUUCUAUUUAUUUGCUUUUAUUCAUUCGUGUUUUGUAGCUCAAAUUUUGAGUCUACAAGCUCAGCUAGGGGAAAAGAACAAAUUGGAACGGAACAGUUUCCAAACAGUGAAGGAGGUUUUCAAAACUCAUCCCUAACUGAACGUGAGGAUGAGUUGGCAUUAGUCGAACACAACCAGUUAUUCAGUCUACCACCUGACAGUGUGUUAAAGUUAAAUUCUGUUAGUGCUGCACUAAAAGAAUCGUUAGUAAUAAGCCCAUGCAGUGAAGGAAGUGAACAAUUGUGGGACCGUAUUUGGGCCGAAAAUGGGUGUGGUACAGAAACCCAGAAAUAGCACGAGUUCUACAUAAAACAUGAAUUAGAAUUUAACGGGGGAUCAAAUCAAGUCUGGAAGUGUUACAGGAUGGAAGAGUGAGCCUACAGAUGAAAAAACACUGAGAGUGCAUUACCAUUAAGGUGUGAGUACAACAGCAAUCCUUUAUAGUUCUGUCACAGCUAGAAGCCUCAAAUAAUUCUGCUUCUCUGUCUAAAGAACAUCUUGUCCUUUACGUUCAGAGUGUUGGGGAAACUGGGUACUUAAAUGGCCCUAAAGAUGUUUUAAUUUUGCUGCCAUUGCAGAGAUGAACAUCAUACAUGGACUCUUUAGGAAAGGAUUUUCAGCAUACUGGGAACACAACUAUAAACAAUGCAACAUUCUAUGGGUGCUAUUUUAUCAUUCAAGAGCCUUAUACAAUGAUUUUCAUCUGCAAUUUGUAUGGCCUUUCCAAAGCUUCUGCCUGAAGUUGAAUCUAUGAGUCAUGUAAGCUACUUGAUCAACAAUUGAUAUCUUUAACGGUGUUAUUAUUAUUACUAUUACCUAUCCAUUUUGUAC